UACGUAGGUGGCAAGCGUUGUCCGGAAUUAUUGGGCGUAAAGCGCGCGCAGGCGGUCUCUUAAGUCUGAUGUGAAAGCCCUCGGCUCAACCGAGGAGGGUCAUUGGAAACUGGGGGGACUUGAGUGCAGAAGAGGAAAGCGGAAUUCCAUGUGUAGCGGUGAAAUGCGUAGAGAUAUGGAGGAACACCAGUGGCGAAGGCGGCUUUCUGGUCUGUUACUGACGCUGAGGCGCGAAAGCGUGGGGAGCAAACAGG
rnacentral:rRNA from 1 species